GUUUAACGCCUUGGUUUCCUUUUGAGGUUGUAUUUGUUGAGCUUGCCGGAUGUGAGGCUCAGAGACAUUUGGAUCAGAUGAAGCAUGAUCUACGCUCAGCGUCUAUUCCAAACAUGCAGACCAUUCAGUUUCCUCAUUCUUGCAAAAGUUUAUUUGAGGCCUUUCCAAGGCCCUUGCUGAAAAAUCAUGCAACUUUGUUAGGUUUUACAUGGUUACAUCUUGUCCUUAAUGAGUUGAAAUCAGGAAGUUCCCCUGUACUUAUAUAACUGUUGGUGUUUCCUCAUGAUUUAGUUGGUAGUGGAAAUUGGCAGAGCUCUUAUUCUCCCUGCCUCAGCUAAAUUAUGCCUACCAAAUGUCCAACCAAGUGAACUCAGUGUAGCAGGGAGUUGGGUUUUAUUCUAAGUCUUAUCAAGUUUAUCAAAAUAUCCAAUACCUAGAGAACCUACUCGUUAUGGAAAUUAUUCAAUGAGAGAAGCUUUGUUCCUAGUGACUGGACCAAAUACUGUGAGAGUUAUGGUGCAUCUUCUGGGGUUAGAAUUAAUACUUACCAAAGCUAUGCAAUUGCUGACCCCUACAGAAAACCUAGUUGUUGGAUGGAUCCUCGUAGGACUACCAUGGUUGAACCCUCUCCAAUGGGAAGCAUGAUGAUUCUCUUAUUACAGCUUUGAUGGACAAUUUACUCCUACUGGAUUCCCUCAAGUUGAUCUACAGGCUCUAAGAGCACCCAUAAUUUCACCUACUGCACAGCCUUCCAUUAAUGAUUCACAUUAUUGACCACCACUGAUGAGACUUUCAUAUGGAAGUUUUCUUGGUGAUAUGCAACAUUCUAUAAGAAAUGACCCCCACAAUGCAAGACCCAAAAUUCUACUUUAUUAUUGAUGGGAGAGAGAAAGGGAGAAAGAAAGGUAGAUUUGGUUUCCUAUCAAUAUUCGACCAACCUAACUCUCAAUCUCAGUUAAAGAACCGAAGAGGUACAAUACUUUCCAUUUCUUAUCAAAAAAUGCCCUUUUAUUUGUGGAUAGCCAGCUUAUCUUUAUGCAGAUCAUGUGCCUAGUAAGACAUCUAUGCUCGCUUGUUGAUCCAAUAUGCAAAUAUUUUAGCCUCCCUUUUAAUUUUAUUUAGGCAACUAGAAAUGUCGUUUGUAUUUUUGGAAAUCCCAAGUGAACUAAAAUGUCUAAUCCAGUUAAUUAAAAUUGCUGCAAUAUCGACUUUGAUUCAUUUUCUUUAUAGGACUCUUAAGUCUUAAUCAUCUUGUCUAAACUGUUACACUUUAAGAAAAUGAUAAUCCAUUAUUGUGUAGAUGAUUUUAAAGUUUA